UCUACCCAGGGGAGGGGCAGGAAGAUUUCCCACCCGGAGGACCUAGUCGAGCAAACAACGGGAAAUGAGCUCGAGAACGGUUUACAUAUUCUCCGCAGGCGACUGCAGACGACCCCUCAUCCCUCUGAUGUAAAAAUGCAGGGCAGGAAAAAGGGAAGAAGACUGUGGAGAGGUGGGUGGGGACCACAGCCCAGCAAGCUUUCUCAGGACAAGGAGCUUAUGGCUCCUCUCACUGGCUGGUGGUUCUCAGACAUCAGCAAGCUUCAGAUUUCCCUGAUGAGUUGUUUUGUCUUGUUUUUUUUAACAUAGGUUUGCUGGGCUUCAUCCCCAGAGUUUCCAGUUCAGGGAGGUUUGGGCUGGGGCCUGAGAGUUUGUGUUUCUAACAGGCCCCCCUGUGAUGCUGCUGUCGCUGCUCUGAAACCACACACCCUGGACAACCAAAGGGACACACAGGAUUUCAAGGUCAGCGGUAAAGUGAGCUGUGUGCUUCGAGCCUCAGGCUCCUGGCGCAGGCUGGAGGUAGGGGCACCAGUUAGGAGGCUAUGGCAGAGGUGGGGGGGGGGGGGGGGGGGGGGCGGGCAGGCAGGGAGGAGGUAGACAAACCAAACCAUAACUCUGCUUGUUAGCAAUUCCAUCAAUUAUUCCCCAAAGAACAUCAUAAUGGACAAAUCUGUGUAUCAUAUUUGCAAAGUUCGGCUCCCUUAUUUAAUUAGGACAUGGAGACUAAGCGGCAUGUAAAGAGAAUAUAUUCGAGAGAAAAGUGAUAGAACUGGAGAUAUACACAUUUCCAAUCCAGAAAUGAGUCCUGCUGUUGAAAACCAGAGAAGAGAGGUUACUCUUCUAUCUUGGAUUCCUAGUCCCUUUGGCUGAGAUAGUAAGGGACGUCUCAUCAUCUCCUUCAGAAAGGAGAGGUCCUACCUUGAAAGAAGAAUGAAAAUCUAGGGCUUUGGAAUUAGAAACCAAGGAGUGAAGUGAAAAUGGAAACCAGGGUGAGGGUGUCAUGAAAGUGGGGUAAGUGAGCGCAGGCACAACAGUCUGGCAUCCAGCUUAUUAAGCCCCCCACUUGCGAAACCACUGGACAUUUACUAGUUGCUUUUCCCCAAGGUGAGCUAAUCAGAGUCCCUGCUGCACUCUAAAGAUCCAUGAUAGAGCCACAGAGACUAAAAGAUGCUGGAGAAAAGUCAUCAGAGCAAAAGUCCUGCUAUUGGGGGGGGGGGGCUCCCAGAAUCCAGAGUCACCCUGGAUUGUUUGCCUGGGUCAUUCAGAACACCCUCAGUUUGUGAGUGGCCCAGCAUCCCUGGAGGGGUGUUUCCCCAACCACCUGUGGAGAAGAAACUGUUUGUUUGUCAUUUCCAAUCAAACACACACCAGUGCUUUUGUAACUUAUGACAAAAAUGGACUACUAUAACUCUUAUCAAGAGACAGGAUCAGUCUUAUCAUGAGAAAAACAUCAGACAAAUCUCAACUGGGGGAUGUUCUACAAAAGACCUGAUCAGAACUCCUCAGAGUCUCCCAGGUCAUCCAAAAAAACAAGGGACAUCUGAGAAACUAACACAGCUAAGAGGAGCCAAAGGAGACACAAUAAUUAAAUGUAACGUGCUGUCCUAGAUGACAUCCUGGAACAGAAAAAGAACAUUAAGAAAAACUAUGGAAACCUGAUGAAUGUAUGAACUUUAAUCAAUAAUAAUGAAUCAAUAUUGGUUCGCGACUAGUAAUAAAUGUACCAUAGUAACAUAAGAUGUUAGUGUAGGAAGUUAGUAAUAGGGGAAACUGAGUAGGGUAUAUGAGAACUCUGAACGAUCUUUAUGACUUUUCUAUAAACCUAAAAGUGUUCCAAAAAAUAAAGUUUACAUUUUAAAAAAAAUCAUUGAGGAGCAAUAAAAUAGAAAAAAAUUAUAAACAAAAUACAAGCUCAAAUUUUAUGAUUAUAUUCAGCAUACAUAAAAUUACACUUCAAUAAAUACAAGAACAUAUCUAGAAAAAAAGAAAAGAAUGGCAAAAAUUGUGCACUUUAUUUACUGCAAGUGUGAGUAUAGGUGAAUAAAUAAUGAGUUGCUGCUACAUUCAUAACUUUUCAUUCCUGUCAUUCAGCUGUAACUAAGCAAAGAGGUAUAUGUAUAACAGGGAGUCCCUAUAUUAAGUUCUUAAAUGCACGCUUUGAAGGAAGAUCAUAUUUAUCAAUAUCAAAGUUUUUAACAUGACAAAUGAGCAAGCUUUGCGCUUGUUAACGUCUCUAAUCUAGUUCAGAUUGAUUACAGCGCUUCUCAGUGGUGAUAAUGUAUAUCUAAAUUGCUUCUGUGCUUUGUUUUAGUAACAAGGACAGCAUAGAAACCAGUCUCGCAAACAAAUGGAAAGAUAUUCCAUGCUCAUGAAUUGGAAGAAUUAAUAUUGUCAAAGUGUCCAUAUUACCCAAAACAAUCUGUAGAUUCAACGCAAACCCUAUCAGAACACCAACAGCAUUUUUUACAAAACAAUUAAAUGGAACCACAAGAGACUCUGAAUAGUCAAAGCAGUCCUGAGAAAGAAGAAGAAAGCUGGAGAUAUUACAAUUCCCGAUUUCAAGAUAUAUUCCAAAUCUGUAGUAACCAAAACAGCAUGGUAUUGGCACAAAAACCAACACAUAGAUCAAUGGACAGAAUAGAGACCCCAGAAAUACACCCACAUUUAUACGGUUAAUUAGUCUAUGACAAAGGAAGAAAGAAUAUACAGUGGGGAAAAGUCAGUCUUUUCAAUAAAUGGUGUUGAGAUACUGAACAGCUACAUCUAAAAGAAUGAAACCAGGCAACUUGCUAACACCAUACAGAAAAACAAACUCAAAAUGUGAGACCUAAAACCAAAAAAAUCCUAGGAGAGAACACAGGCAGUAAUUUCGCUGACAUCAGCCAUAGCAACAUUUUCUAGAUAUGUCUUAUAAAACAAGGGAAACAAAAGCAAGCAUGAACUAUUGGGUUCAUCAAGAUAAAAAGCUUCCGCACAGCAAAGGAAACAAUCAACAAAACUAAAAGACAACCUGUAGAAUGGGAGAAGAUAUUUGCAAAUGACAUGUAUGAUAAAGGUUUAGUAUCCAAAAUCUAUAAAGAACUUAUCAAACUCAAACACCCCCCCCCAAAAACACACACACACACACACACACACACACACAAAUAACCCAGGUAAGAAACGGGCAGAAGACACGAAUAGACACUUUUCCAAAGAAGACAUUCAGAUGGCUAACAAACACAUAAAGAUAUUCAACAUCACUCAUCAUCAGGGAAAUAGAAAUCAAAACCAUGAUGAGAUACCUCCUCACACCUGUAAGAAUGGCUACAAUUAACAACACAAGAAACAAUGGGUGUUGGCAAGGAUGUGGAGAAAGGGGAAACCUCUUGCACUGUUGGUGGGAAUGCAAAGUGGUGCAGCCACUCUGGAGAACAGUAUGGAGGUUCCUCAAAAAACUAAAAAUAAAACUACCCUUGCACUAGUAGGUAUUUACCCAAAGGAUACAAAACUACAGAUUCAAAGGGGCACAUGCACCCCAAUGUUUAUAGCAGCUCUAUCAACAAUAGCCAAAUUAUGGAGAGAGCCCAAAUGUCCAUCGACUAAUGAAUGGCUAAAGAAGAUGUGCUAUAUAUAUACAAUGGAAUAUUCUCAGACAUCACCAAGAAUGAAAUCUUACCAUUUGCAAUGACAUGUAUGGAGCUAGAGUGUAUUGUGCUAAGCAAAAUAAGUCAAUCAGAGAAAGAAAAAUGCCAUAUGAUUUACUCACAUGUGGAACUUAAGAAACAAAACAGAUGAAUAUAUGGAAGGGAUGGAGAGAGGAGAGAGGGAAAUAAACUACAAGAGACUCUUAACCGUAGAGAACGAACUGAGGGUUGAUGGAGGGAGGUGAGUGGGAUAUGGGCUAGACGGGUGAUGAGUAUUAAAGAGGGCACUUGUUAUGAUGAGCACUGGGUGUUGUAUGUAAGUGACGAAUCAUCAAAUUCUACUCCUGAAACCAAUAUUGCACUGUAUGUUUAACUAACUAAAAUUUAAAUUAAAAAAUAAGUAAAUAAAAAUUAAAAAAUAAACUAUUAGGACUACAUCAAAGUAAAGAGCUUUUACAUAGCAAACAAAACCAUCAACAAAGCAAAAAGACAACCCACUGAAUGAGAGAAGAUAUUUGCCAAUGAUAUAUCUGAUAAAGGGUUAAUAUCCAAAAUAUAUAAAGAACUCAUACUACUCAACAUCAGAAAAACAAGCAAUCUGAUUAAAAAUUGGCAGAGGUCCUGAAUAGACAUUUUCCAAUAGAAGACACGCAGAUGGCCAACAGACACAUGAAAAGAUGCCCAGCAUCAUUCAUUAUUGGGGAAAUGCAAAUCAAAACCAUGAUGAGAUAUCACUUCACUCUUGUUAGCAUGGCUAAAAUCAAGAAGACAAGAAACAAGUGUUGGAAGUAUAUGGAGAAAAAGGAACCUUUAUGCACUGUUGGUGGGAAUGUAAUUUGAUACAACCACUGUGAAAUAGUAUGGCCGUUCCUCAAAAAUUAAAAAUAGAAAUACCUUAUGAUCCAAUAGUUACAUUAUUGAGUUUUCACCCAGGGAAAACAAAAACACUAACUCAAAAAGGUAUAUGCACCCUUAUAUUUAUUGCACCAUUAUUUACAAUAGCCAAGACAUGGAAGCAACCUUUUGGCUUUCAACAGGCAAAUGGAUAAGGAAAAUGUAUAUUUGUACAAUGGAAUAUUAGACAUCCAUAAAAAAGGAUGAGAUCAUGCCAUUUGAGACAACUUGUAUGGACCUAGAGGGUAUUAUGCUAAGUGAAAUAAGUCAGACUGAGAAAGACGAAUGCCAUAUGAUUCCAUUCAUAAAUGGAAUCUUUAAAAAAAAUGAAUAAACACACAAAGAGCAGAAUAAGAACUAGAAAUACAGAGAAUAAACUGAUAACUGCCAGAGGAAAGGGGGGUGAAGGCGUGGGGGAAAGGGUUAAGAGGAAAGGGAGAUGGCCUCCAGUUAUGGAAUGAAUAAGUCAUGGGAAUAAAAAGCAGAGCAUAAGGAAUACAGCCAAUAUUAUAAUAGCGAUGUAGCAGGACACAUAGUAGCUAUACUUGUGGUAAACACAGCAUGAUGUACAAAGUUGUCAAAUUACAAAGUUGUGUAUCUAAAGCUAACGUAACAUUGUAUGUCAACUAUAUUCAAGUAAAAACAAAAUAAAAUAAAAUCUAUUCGAUCACUCUUAAAAAAAUUAAAAAAAAAAAAAGAUAGGACCCAUCAGACUUUAUAUCUUGCAGAAACAUUGAGUUUUUAUAGCUCAAGCAUUCUCAACUUUUCUUUUCUACAAUCACUGGACCUCAAUAUUCAAUGAAAGUCCUAUUUUAUAAUUCAUUUUCCAUAUUAUCACAUAGUUUGUAAAGAGAAUAAUCUAAAGUUUAUGCAUUACACUUCACUUAAUUUACAAUUUUUGUGAUAUCACUUGGUGCAUUGUUUCUUUUGGCUGAUAUUUUUUUUCAUAGCAAGACUUUCUUAGUAAAGAAAGUGGUGCGUUGAUUUCCAUCUGCCCAACCUCUUUGAUCUGGGCAAAUACUCCAGAAAGUUUCCUUUUCACCACAACUGUGACAUCAGAGCAUAUUUCUAUACUGAAGGAACUCCCAAACACACCUGAUAAUAUUGUAACCCUUCAUAGUUUUAUACAGCCCAAUUAUAGUUGCUGACAAUGAAGGUGAAAAACAUGAAUCUUCAAAUUACCAUCAUGUUCUGAUUGUGCAUAUGUAAAGAGAAUUGCAAGGUUAACAAUAUCUGUUGCAAGUUGCAAUAAAAGAUACAUUGCUAGUACACCUCCGUGUACCAAAAAUGGUUAAUACACCAUGACCAGUUGGAAAUCAAGAUUGGUUUAACAUUCUAAAAGCACAGUAUAAAUAAACUAAGGAAAAGCAUAUUAUUAUCUCAAUAGAUGAAUAAAAAGCAUUUUAUAAAUUCCAGCACUAAUUCCUGAUAAAUACUCCCAGCAAACUAAGAACAGGUGGAAAAUGCCAGAACUUGAUUAACAGGCAGCUACCAAAACCCGACAGCUAGGGUCAUGCUUACUGAUGAAACACUGGAUGUUUUCUUCCUGUCGGGGGCUGAAUUUCAUCCCUCAACAUUCAUAUGUUAAAGUCCUAACCCCUGGUACCUCAGAAUAUGGCUCUAUCUGAAGACAGAACCUUUAAGAGGUAAUCAAGGUAAAAUGAAAUCAUGUGAGUGGGGCUUAAUCUGCUGUUCUUAUGAAAAAAAGAAAAGAAAAGAAAAGAAAAGAAAAGAAGAGAAGAGAAGAGAAGAGAAGAGACGAGAAGAGAAAAAAGGAAAGAGAAAAGAAAAGAAAAGAAAAGAAAAGAAAAGAAAAGAAAAGAAAAGAAAAGAAAAGAAAAGAAAAGACAAGACAAGAAAAGGUAAUUAGGACACAGACACACAGGCACAGAGGAAAGUCCACGUGGUGACACAGCAAGGAGGAGGCCAUCUGUAAGCCAGGGCAAGAGGUUUCAGAAGAAACCAUACCUGCCAAUACCUUGAUCUCAGAUUUCUAACCUUCAGAAACACAUCUCUGUUGUUAUAACCACCCCAGCAAACUAACACACUGCCUACCAUCAGGAAAAAGGCCAGUGUGCCUUCUCUCAUUCCUUCCCUUCGACAUUGUCCUAGAGGGUAGAGCCAGUUAAAGAAAAAGAAAAAAAAGUUCAGCAUGGGAAGGAAAACAAUAAAACUAUCAAUCUGCAGAUGACAAGAUCGUCUACAUAGAAAAGUCUGUGAAAUUUACAAAAAAAAAAAGAAAUCAGAAUUAUUUUUAGCGAGGUUGUCAUUUACAAAAUCGACAUACGGAAUUCUGCUCUAUCUCUAUACACUAGCAACAAAAAAAGGCUGAAACUGAAAUUUCAAAGCACUGGGCAGCCUGUAAGCCCCAUUCACUUUAGCAACCAGCCAAGCUAAGAGAAAGGGCAACUCUGGCCUCAUUUCUCACUCUUGAUAGACAACUCCAUUUGUCAUCAGACCUGGUCUUUGUAUUACUUGAGGGGUUAUAAUAGUGGGUCCCUGGUAGGGAAGACACACGGCUUGGGAUUUCCUGUGGGAAUUUUUUCUUCUAUUACCUUAAAAAAAUCUCACAAUUAAAGAAACGGGGUAGUUCACCUAAAUCCUUCGGUUAUCAUAAAAACCCCUAUGUUGGCCUUGCACAGACUCUAAGGCAUCUCACAUCUACCAUCACACUUAAUUUCACAACAGCCCUAUGGGAGAGGCUGUACAGAAGUCAUUGUGGCCGCUGAACAGAUGGGGAACAUGAGAGUUCUGUUGACCCACAAAACUGGAGAAUCCAAGGGAUGUGUCUGACUAAAAGCACAGCUGAAUCCAAGGUUUCAAAUUGCAUCACUUGGGUGUCCAAUAUCCAUCUCAGAGAAGUUAAAUGUUUUGCCCAAAGUCACGCAGUUCAUAGCUAGUAAGAGCAGGACCUGAACAGUGGUCUCCAAACUCCAAAUCUAAUGCUUUCUCAUAGUUUCUUGUGUUGAAAAAAGAAAGAGGCCAGAAGUCCUCUGCUCAGGACUAAUUAUCCCCUGAUCUUUAUUCCCAUAUUCCUUUUAUGGUUCAUGCCACAUUGCAUUAUAGCUAUUUGCUAAUGUAUCUGUCUUCUGUGCUCACAAGGCAGACACUGUCUCUUUCACCACUCGAUAGAUGUCUUUUAAAUUAAAUUAUCAUCAAAAAAUCACUUAUUGUUUGUCUCAAAACAUACUCUAACUCUCUCUCUCUCACACACACACCCACCCACACGCGCGCGCGCGCGCACACACACACACACACACACACACACACACAGAAAAAAUUUGGUGGAGCUUAGAAGAGAAGGCCACAGAAUUGGCUUUUGCUAAUUGUGGGUUAUAGCCUAAGCCAGACAAUAAGAGACAGACAUGAUGGGCACAGUGAAAUUUCACAGGAUAGACAUGAAAAAGACGUGACCAAUGAAUUAACAAGAGGGUGAGUGAAUCAGGAUUUUGGCUUCCAGUCAUUGAGGAAGAAAGCCCAGCACAAAAAAAAAUUAUACUAGCUCAUAGACCUGAAAUAACCAAGAGAUAUAUCUGACUGAAGACAAGGCUGAAUCCAGAGUUUCAAAUUAUAUCCUUUGAAUGUCCAAUGACUAUCCCAAGCCUGAAAGGUCAAAAUCUGAGCUCCUAAUCUCCCUCCAAAAUCUGCUAAUCCCGUAUCUUCUACAUCUCAGUAAAUGGUACCCUCAGUGGCUCCACCAUUCAGUCAUUCAGGCAAAAAUCCCUAGAGUCAUUCUUGACUCUUCUCUUUCUCUGACCCCCCACAUUCAAUUAUUUACGCUGCUGUGGCCCCGCCAUGAAAAUCCAUCCUGAGGGCAGCCUUUUUUCUACCUGUCCUAAACCAAAUCAUCAUCAUCCCUCAUCUAAAGAAUUAUAACAGCCCUUGCCUUCCUAGGGCCAAUGUUCAACACCGCGAGUGCACAUAUAUGAUCAUAUAUGACAAGUGAAUCAUAUCAUGUCACUCCUCUUCUCAAAACCCUUCAGGGCCUUCUUCUCUCUCUCCACAGAAAAGCUAAAACCUUCACAAUGCCCUACAAGCCCCUACACAAUCUGCUCCCCUUACCCCUCUGACCUCACCUCCACUGUCCCCUCACUUAAUCUGCUCCAGCCCCACCGGCCUCCCUGCCCUUCUUCAAACACACAGGACAGGCACUCACCUCAAGGCCUUUCCAUUUACUCCUCCCUUUGCCCAGAUGCACUUCCUCCAAAUACCCUCAUACCCUCCAGAUCUGUACACAGACGUCAUUUUCUCAGAGGGGUCUUUCCAAGAUACUCUUGCAAAAUUGCAACAAUUCCUAUCACCACCACCCAAUGUUCCCUACUGUCCUUCCUCAUUGUUUAUCUCCACAGCACUUAUCAAAAUGCUAUACAAUUUGCUAAAGUGUAUUGUUUAACACCUGCCUCUCCCUACUAGAAUGGAAAUUCUUUUCUCCGCUGGAGGACACCAGUGUGUUCCAUGCAGAAAUGGUGGACUCUUGUCUCUUCCCCCUUCAUCUGCACUGAGCUCUGUUAUCUGAACCCCAGUUCUCAUAAGGUUCCCCCUCAAAAAAGACCCUUUUAGCUUUUCCCAGUGUUCUCUUUACCACUUAGGAUCAGACCUUGUCCUGGAGCCAGACUGCAGAACACAAUAUGAUAGUGUCCCCUGUUGGGAAGGCUGAAGACACCCUCUUGCUGUGGGCCAACAGGUGCCCACAGCCAAAUUCUUUUCCUCUUCCUUCACUCAAAAUGCAGAAAUUCUCAGGCAUAUCAUCUCAGCCAAAUAGGCCCAAAAGAUACCAGAGUGUGGGUGGAGGGGCAGAAGGAGAUGUCAGCCUCCUGGCCUAGCAUCAGCUUGGGCUCAGUUGGGACUGGACAACCCAACUGUGAAAAAGACGGCUGGUUGGCCAGUGAUAUCCAUUCUGCUUCCUUUAAUAACAGAACUCCUGAGUUUUAGCCACCAUCAGUGGGGUUAUGUGGACAAACUCUGACCAACGGCAUGUGAGCGGAAGUGAUGUGUGACACCUACAGGUCACGUCCCAAAAAAGAAAUGUGCAUGUGCUCUUCCUGACUCUGUUUUUCUCCCCUCUGGUUAAGGGAAAUGACAAGAAUUCAUCAUCUGCUUUGGACUCAGAGCUGGAAGUUCUACACAGAGGACCCCUUUGCUUCCCUACAAGUCCUAGACCACUUCCCUCUGAGCUGUCAUAGGAGGAAGAGAUAAAGUUCUACCACACUUGAACCACUGUACUUCGGGUUUUCUUUGUUACAGCAGCCUGGCUGAUACAUUCACUAAUACAACGAUCCCACCUACAAUGUCUUUCUUGCCAUAGAGUAUUUC
rnacentral:lncRNA from 1 species